rnacentral:tRNA from 1 species
GGAGAGGUACCGAAGCGGUCAUAACGGCGCCGACUCGAAAUCGGAUGGUCGGGGAAACCCGGCACGUGGGUUCGAAUCCCACCCUCUCCGCCA